rnacentral:tRNA from 1 species
GAUUAAAUGGCUGAAUUUUAGGCAAUAAAUUGUAAAUUUAUUUAUGAGUAAUGAUCUCUUUAAUCA